rnacentral:rRNA from 1 species
CCUAGGGGGGGCAGCAGGCGCGAAACCUCUACAAUGCACGAAAGUGUGAUAGGGGAAUCCCAAGUGCUCAAGCACUGCUUGGGCUUUUGCCAUAUGUAAAUAGUAUGGCGAAUAAGUGGUGGGCAAGACUGGUGCCAGCCGCCGCGGUAACACCAGCGCCACGAGUGGCAAUCGCGUUUAUUGGGCCUAAAGCGUCCGUAGCAGGUUUUGUAAAUUUCUUGUGAAACUGCCAAGCUUAACUUGGCAAUGUGCAGGAAACACUGCAAGACUAGAGACCGGGAAGGGUCGGAAGUAUUCCUGAGGGAGCGGUAAAAUGCUAUAAUCUCAGGAGGACUACCGGUGGCGAAGGCGUCCGACUAGAACGGAUCUGACUGUGAGGGACGAAAGCUAGGGGAGCAAACCGGAUUAGAUACCCGAGUAGUCCUAGCUGUAAACGCUGUGAGCUAGGUGUCGCGUAUUCUACGGGAAUGCGCGGUGUCGUAAGGAAGCUACUAAGCUCACCGCCUGGGAAGUACGGUCGCAAGACUGAAACUUUAAGGAAUUGGCGGGGGCGCACCACAAGGGGUGCGGCGUGCGGUUUAAUCUAACUCAACACAGAGAACCUUACUAGGGGCGACGGCAAGAUGAAGGUCAUGCUGAAGACAUUACUCGAUGAGCCGACAGGUGGUGCAUGGCCGUCGCCAGCUCGUGCUAUGAAGUGUCCAGUUAAGUCUGGCAACGAGCGAGACCUGUAUCUGCAAUUGCUAACGGCAUUACGGUGGACCGAGCACAUUGCAGGGACUGCCUUGGAAACAAGGAGGAAGGUGCAGGCUACGGUAGGUCUGUAUGCCCCGAAUCCCCUAGGCUACACGCGCGCAACAAUGGUAGAGACAAUGGGAUGCAACUCUGAAAAGAGAAGCUAAACCUCUAAACCCUAUCCAAGUUCAGAUUGAGGGUUGCAACUCACCCUCAUGACGUCGGAAUCCCUAGUAAUCAGGUUUCAUCAAAGCCUGGUGAAUAUGUCCCUGCGCCUUGCACACACCGCCCGUC